rnacentral:rRNA from 1 species
GAUGAACGCUGGCGGCGUGCCUAAUACAUGCAAGUCGAGCGAACAGACGAGGAGCUUGCUCCUCUGACGUUAGCGGCGGACGGGUGAGUAACACGUGGAUAACCUACCUAUAAGACUGGGGUAACUUCGGGAAACCGGAGCUAAUACCGGAUAAUAUAUUGAACCGCAUGGUUCAAUAGUGAAAGACGGUUUUGCUGUCACUUAUAGAUGGAUCCGCGCCGCAUUAGCUAGUUGGUAAGGUAACGGCUACCAAGGCAACGAUGCGUAGCCGACCUGAGAGGGUGAUCGGCCACACUGGAACUGAGACACGGUCCAGACUCCUACGGGAGGCAGCAGUAGGGAAUCUUCCGCAAUGGGCGAAAGCCUGACGGAGCAACGCCGCGUGAGUGAUGAAGGUCUUCGGAUCGUAAAACUCUGUUAUUAGGGAAGAACAAAUGUGUAAGUAACUAUGCACGUCUUGACGGUACCUAAUCAGAAAGCCACGGCUAACUACGUG